rnacentral:rRNA from 1 species
UACGAAGGGGGCUAGCGUUGCUCGGAAUUACUGGGCGUAAAGCGUGCGCAGGCGGUUUGUUAAGUCAGAUGUGAAAUCCCCGGGCUUAACCUGGGAACUGCAUUUGUGACUGGCAAGCUAGAGUAUGGCAGAGGGGGGUAGAAUUCCACGUGUAGCAGUGAAAUGCGUAGAGAUGUGGAGGAAUACCGAUGGCGAAGGCAGCCCCCUGGGCCAAUACUGACGCUCAUGCACGAAAGCGUGGGGAGCAAACAGG